rnacentral:antisense_RNA from 1 species
ACAACGUUCAGCAGACAUCGGCAUACAAAUAAGGCCACGGCCGUGCGUUGCCAUGAAGUUAAUGGCUUCUGGUGUAACUUUUUCUGCAGCCAUAAU